rnacentral:rRNA from 1 species
GACUCAUGGCUCAGGAUGAACGCUAGCUACAGGCUUAACACAUGCAAGUCGAGGGGAAACGACAUCGAAAGCUUGCUUUUGAUGGGCGUCGACCGGCGCACGGGUGAGUAACGCGUAUCCAACCUGCCUACCACUUGGGGAUAACCUUGCGAAAGUAAGACUAAUACCCAAUGACAUCCCACGAAGACAUCUGAAUGGGAUUAAAGAUUUAUCGGUGAUGGAUGGGGAUGCGU